rnacentral:rRNA from 1 species
AACGGGUGGAGCUUGCGGUUUUAAUUGGAUUCAACGCCGGAAAUCUUACCGGGACCGACAGCAAUAUGAAGGCCAGGCUGAAGACUUUGCCGGAUUAGCUGAGAGGUGGUGCAUGGCCGUCGUCAGUUCGUACUGUGAAGCAUCCUGUUAAGUCAGGCAACGAGCGAGACCCACGCCCACAGUUGCCAGCGUACUCUCCGGAGUGACGGGUACACUGUGGGGACCGCCGCUGCUAAAGCGGAGGAAGGAAUGGGCAACGGUAGGUCAGUAUGCCCCGAAUAUCCCGGGCUACACGCGAGCUACAAUGGUUGGUACAAUGGGUAUCUACCCCGAAAGGGGACGGGAAUCUCCUAAAACCAAUCUUAGUUCGGAUUGAGGGCUGCAACUCGCCCUCAUGAAGCUGGAAUCCGUAGUAAUCGCGUUUCAACAGAACGCGGUGAAUACGUCCCUGCUCCUU